rnacentral:rRNA from 1 species
UACGUAGGUGGCAAGCGUUAUCCGGAUUUAUUGGGCGUAAAGGGAACGCAGGCGGUCUUUUAAGUCUGAUGUGAAAGCCUUCGGCUUAACCGGAGUAGUGCAUUGGAAACUGGGAGACUUGAGUGCAGAAGAGGAGAGUGGAACUCCAUGUGUAGCGGUGAAAUGCGUAGAUAUAUGGAAGAACACCAGUGGCGAAAGCGGCUCUCUGGUCGGUAACUGACGCUGAGGUUCGAAAGCGUGGGUAGCAAACAGG